rnacentral:rRNA from 1 species
GACGAACGCUGGCGGCGUGCUUAACACAUGCGAGUCGAACGGAAAGGCCCUGCUUUUGUGGGGUGCUCGAGUGGCGAACGGGUGAGUAACACGUGAGUAACCUGCCCUUGACUUUGGGAUAACUUCAGGAAACUGGGGCUAAUACCGGAUAGGAGCUCCUGCUGCAUGGUGGGGGUUGGAAAGUUUCGGCGGUUGGGGAUGGACUCGCGGCUUAUCAGCUUGUUGGUGGGGUAGUGGCUUACCAAGGCUUUGACGGGUAGCCGGCCUGGGAGGGUGACCGGCCACAUUGGGACUGAGAUACGGCCCAGACUCCUACGGGAGGCAGCAGUGGGGAAUAUUGCACAAUGGGCGGAAGCCUGAUGCAGCAGCGCCGCGUGCGGGAUGACGGCCUUCGGGUUGUAAACCGCUUUCGCCUGUGACGAAGCGUGAGUGACGGUAAUGGGUAAAGAAGCACCGGCUAACUACGUG